rnacentral:rRNA from 1 species
UGAGAACGCUGGCGGCGUGCCUAAUACAUGCAACGUCGAGCGGACAGAAGGGAGCUUGCUCCCGGAUGUUAGCGGCGGACGGGUGAGUAACACGUGGGUAACCUGCCUGUAAGACUGGGAUAACUCCGGGAAACCGGAGCUAAUACCGGAUAGUUCCUUGAACCGCAUGGUUCAAGGAUGAAAGACGGUUUCGGCUGUCACUUACAGAUGGACCCGCGGCGCAUUAGCUAGUUGGUGAGGUAACGGCUCACCAAGGCGACGAUGCGUAGCCGACCUGAGAGGGUGAUCGGCCACACUGGGACUGAGACACGGCCCAGACUCCUACGGGAGGCAGCAGUAGGGAAUCUUCCGCAAUGGACGAAAGUCUGACGGAACAACGCCGCGUGAGUGAUGAAGGUUUUCGGAUCGUAGUUCUCUGUUGUUA